rnacentral:rRNA from 1 species
UACGGAGGAUCGCGAGCGUUAUCCGGGAUUUAUUGGGUUUAAAGGGUGCGUAGGCGGCUUUUUAAGUCAGCGGUGAAAUUUUGCAGCUUAACUGUAACAGUGCCGUUGAUACUGGGGAGCUAGGAUUUGGUUGCUGUGGGUGGAAUGCGUGGUGUAGCGGUGAAAUGCUUAGAGAUCACACAGAAUAUCGAUUGCGAAGGCAGCUUACUGGGAUGCAACUGACGCUGAGGCACGAAAGCGUGGGUAUCAAACAGGAUUA